rnacentral:rRNA from 1 species
GACGAACGCUGGCGGCGUGCUUAACACAUGCAAGUCGAACGGAAAGGCCCUGCUUUUGUGGGGUGCUCGAGUGGCGAACGGGUGAGUAACACGUGAGUAACCUGCCCUUGACUUUGGGAUAACUUCAGGAAACUGGGGCUAAUACCGGAUAGGAGCUCCUGCUGCAUGGUGGGGGUUGGAAAGUUUCGGCGGUUGGGGAUGGACUCGCGGCUUAUCAGCUUGUUGGUGGGGUAGUGGCUUACCAAGGCUUUGACGGGUAGCCGGCCUGAGGGGGUGACCGGCCACAUUGGGACUGAGAUAAGGCCCAGACUCCUACGGGAGGCAGCAGUGGGGAAUAUUGCACAAUGGGCGGAAGCCUGAUGCAGCAACGCCGCGUGCGGGAUGACGGCCUUCGGGUUGUAAACCGCUUUCGCCUGUGACGAAGCGUGAGUGACGGUAAUGGGUAAAGAAGCACCGGCUAACUACGUG